UAAUUUGAAAAUGAAAUGGAACAGACAAAUUUUACUUGUCAACUUAAUAAUGGUCUGUCUAGUCAAAAGGCCUCCAGUUGGUUUAGAAUGGAGAAUCUAAAAAAAAAAUAUGUAAAGUGGUUUUUUUUUAGUUUCCUGAAUUUUUAUAUACAUUUUGUUAUUGCUCCCUUUCAAUUUUUAUAAAUUCCGGAUUUUAAGUUUUGGAUUUAUGGGGCUUUAUUCAUAAAAAAGGGGGAUUUUUCACACCUGGACAAUAACUCAAAAAGGCUUUCACCAAUGUCCAUGAAACUUUGGUGAAUUGUUUAUAUCUAUUGACAUAAGCUCCCUUUCCCUUUUUAUUAAUUUUAGAUUUUACAUUUUCUUAAGUAAUGAAUUUUUAUACUUAAAAAAGGGGGAUUUUAUGCAGUUUUGGUGAAACUUAAAAGAGCAACGGCCGUAUCAUGUGCUAAAGCGCAUCCCUUUAUUGAAAUGUGUUGUAGUUUUUACAUAUUAUUAUUUCUUUAUUUUAAUUAUACAAAUUUUGUAUUGUUAAAUAUUUAAAGGGUGUGGAGUCUCAACAGGGUGAAAUUUUCAGGACAAAAGGGAGGUAAUUCCUUUGUUAUACUCAUUAUACUUGAAAUUUCCUGAGUGUUUAUAUGGAAUAUAACUUUUUUAAUUAAAAUAUUCACUUUUGUACACAUUUUCUUUAAAUAUCAGAUGUAUACUUGCUAAAAUUACUUUUAUUUAGAGUUCUGUAAAUCAAAAAAAAUGUAAGCAGAGCUCUAGCUAUAGAUAAUAGAUUUGGAGGGUGGGAGAAAUUGUGGGUAACUACAAUUGAUUAGGUGAAAUUUCAAAAGACUUAAAAAGUGCAUCUGAUAUUUAUUUUUACAUAAUGUUAUUUCUGAAAGCAAAUGGACAAUAAGAUGAGGACAUAAACCACCUUCCAGGUUAGGAUAGCAGCUCUUAAGGAAGAUGGUCAAUUAAAUCUUCAACCCAGUCUGAGGCCUUACCAUGAAAAAUAUGUGGUUGUUGAAAUUACAAUGUUUUCAUGGUGUGGGGAGUAAGACUUGAAUAUCUGAUAUUGUUAACAUGAUGGUUGGCAUCACAAGUUUCCUUUGGGUAACUUGCUUGAGGAGUAAAGAGAGCUGUUUAAGUUGAAAGUGUCACCUUUGCUGCCUUGUGUGGUACAAUCUUCAGACAAUAUCCUGCAAACCGUGGCUGAACUGUUACUAUUUUUUUUUAAUAGAAUCCUUAGACAGUAAUCUUGUGGCAGAAUGAGUUGUAAACAAAUUGUUUUUAUUCCUGUAUUGAGUUUCAAAUUGGAUAUUUUUUUAUUUAUAUUAUUUGUAUUCCAUUUGCAUUCAAUUAUUGUUUUUUAAUUGAUGAAUCAUUAAAACUUAAAUUUUGCGGGGUCCUAAAGGACUUUCUUAGAGGGGGCAAGCGCAAUUGAUUAAACAAAAUUUUUCCCGCAACAGGGAGAGGAGACAUCCCCAUAAAUAUGCCUUUGAAAUGGGGUGUUAAAGAAGAUUUGUAUUGUUUAUUUGUUUGUCCAUCAUCAGCUCUCAUCCACAGCUUGGUAGAUUUUCAUUGAAACUUUCAGCUGAUUUUCUGUACUAAAGGCAGUAUGUUUUUUAAUUGAUUAUAAUGAAAUUUUGGGUUUUCCCAACCUUUUUGAAGUGAAAACAAUGGAACACAGUGUUGGCAGAUACUGAAGAUUAUUUGAAAGUUUAGAGAAAGUCCCAUUUAAUCUUGAUAAUUGUGGGUUAAAGUUGUAGAUGGAUAAACAA